CCGGAAGGCAGUGACACCACCUUCCCUUCCUAGGAACCGUGGCCCCUUGGGGAAGACGCUGCAGCCGGGGCCCAGGGGGCUGGGCGCCCAGGAAACGCGACCACAGGCACCCCCUGCCGCCCCUCAGGGCCUGCGAAUCCGGGCAAAAAAAGGAGGCACCCCACCGGCCUUCCAGACAUCACACCGCAAUCCUGCUCAGCUUCCCCGGCCUCCUCCUCUGCCCCCAGCACAUCUCCCGCCUCCCUCCUGCUUCCCUGGCUUCUCCCGCAGUGGUGAUCUCCUUCCCUCACUCCUUUGCUCCCAGAGUCCACGACUCUGCAUCACCUCCACCUGGAAGCCCUCCGAGGAUGCCCUUCUCCUGUGAAGAUGCUGUGUUCUCUGUGGGUCCCUUUCUGACCCCCUGGCUCUCUCCCCUUGUCAGCAUCCUUCUGCACGGUUCCCAGAGGGCAAAGGGUGGCCCUGCUCCCCGCGGGUGCCCGUGAGCCCGGCAGGCAGGUGCCGGCGGGAAGGAAGGAAGUACUCACUGAGGAGUGUCCUCUGCAUACUCUGUGCCCGCAUGCUGGGUGACCGAGCUCCGGCCUGUGCCCGCUGGGGGUGACACCUCCCUGCCUGGAGCCCUGAGGGCUGGCAGCCCCUUUAUGCCCGUCGGGGUGAUUGGCCAACACCUCGUGAGGCGGCCAAUGGGCGCCCAGUGCGGUGGCAUGCCUGCUCCUCCUCCUGUUUUCUUCGAAUUCGUUCUUCGAGGUCAGCCCCCCACGCCCAAGGAUGAUGCAAACCACAGCCUCAGCCUUCCUGGGGCCCAUCGAACCAGGCGCUUGGGGCAAGAGGAAAGGGAGAUCAGGACUCAAGCCCUCUGACAUGCUGUGUGGCCCAAGGCAAUUCACUUCGCCUCCCUGGGCCUCGGAGGCCCCUUCCACCUGCAAAAUGAGGAUUUGAAAAGUAUCUCCCAGCUACCUCACCGGGCUGCUGCCAUCAUGGACAUAAAAGGCAAAGGCCCUUUGAAGGGAAAAGGAGCGAUGAAGCAGUCUGAUUCCAAGAUGAACGGAGGCCCCGUGAGCGCGCGGACGAAGCGGCCGAGGGCUGGCCCGCACACCAUGCCUGGCCACCUCAGCGCCUCCAGCAGACCGGCUGGGGGUCCUUGGCCUGCACCCUGAGGAGUGCCGUGGGCAGGAGGGUGUCAAAGGCUGAGAAUCGGGGUGGGGCCCUUGGAGGGGCGUGGGACCAGGGAGGCCUGAGCCGCUUGGGCCCUGCGGAGCCCGGAUCAGGAAUGCCAAGGUGGCUGGAAGGAGGGAGGCCGGGCACCCACCCCAGCACCCAUCAAUACCCCCAAGGCCAUUCCCAGCAGCCCGCCCCUCUGCAGGCUCAUUUAUGCAGUCAACAAACAUUUAUUUGGCCUGCUCUUUUCCAAGUGCUAAGGAACUAGCAAUGGGCAACACCAGGGGCACCCCCUCAUCCCAAACCCCGGAGGCUUCUCUUCACCCACCCCCCCCCCCAGCCUACUCCCUGGGCCUCAUCACACCCUCGCCACCAUCAAGGCCCAGUUCUGGAUUCUCCUCCUGAGAAUGUCACUUCCGCUCGACUCCCCGUCCCGGCGCCCACUCCCACGAGGUGGCUUCCUGGGCCCAGGCCGGGUCCAGAUCCUUGUUCAUUUCACUCUCUGAUCUCAUCUCGCUGCAGCCCUGGGAGGGACAGUGGCCUGGCAUGCGUGCCUCAGCUCCCUUAAUAGUCGUUUGCUUUUUAAAAAAAAAAAAAAAAUGUACUUAUUUGGCUAUGUUGGGUCUUAGCUGCAGAACGCAGGAUCUUUUGUUGUGGUGAGUGGGUUUCAAGUGUGGUGCCUGGGCUUGGCUGCCCUGUGGCUUGUGGCAUCUUAGUUCCCCAACCAGGGAUCAAACCUGCAUCUCCUGCAUUGGAAGGUGGAUUCUUAACCACUGGACCACCAGGGAAGUUCCCUGGCUCCUGGUAAUGAGAGAAAAACAGAACCUUGGAAAAGCUCAGGGCUGGGCUCCAUGUAGGAGAGCCAGGUCUGGCCAGAGAGCCUCAUGCCCUUGCUGAGCGGCCUCCACGCCCAGGGGACAGCCCAGGGUUUUCACCCCUCGGUCCAGGCAGUAGGGUCUCCUGUGUUUCUUUCUUUAUUUAUUUUUUCUCCUGGGUUUAAAGAGGCCUCCAAGUCCCAGAGACAUUGAGAUCAACCCACCUGUGGUGUACCUUUUUUUUUUUUUUUGUGGUGUACCUUUUAUAAAAAUAUUUAAGAGGAGGGUGCUUGCACAUCUGAAAGAGCUGGCUCUGAGCACGGAGCUUUAAACUUACAUGUGAGUUUGCUGGAGCUGCCAUAACCAGGUACCACAGACAGAAGUGUACAACAGUGUUUUCUCACAGUCCUGGAGCUGAAAGUCCGAGCUCAAGGUGCUGGAUUCAUCCUGAGGCCGCCCUCCUCAGCUCGCAGAUGGCCGGCUUCUCGUCAUCUCCUCCCACGGCUGCCCUGCCGUGUCUGUCUGUGCCCAGAUCUCUUCUCCUUUUUAAAAACAAUAUUUGGGGCCGUGUUGGGUCUUCAUUGCUGCAUGGGCUUUUCUCUAGUUGUGGCCCACGGGCUCCUCAUUGCGGUGGCUUCUCUUGUUGCAGAGGACCUAGGGCUCGUGGGCUUCCGUAGCUGUGGUGCACAGGCUUUGCUGCUUCACGGCACGUGGGAGCCUCCCGGACCAGGGAUCGAACUCACAUCCCCUGCGCUGGCCGGUGGCUUCUUUACCACUGAACCACACCAGGGAAGCCCCGACCUCCUCUUCUAAGGACACCUGUUACGUUGCAAUGGGGCCCACCCAAUGGCCCCACUUUACCCCGAUUGCCCCUUUCCAGGCCCUGGCUCUGUGCACACUCAUAUUUUGAGGUGCUGGGGGUUGUGACCUCAGUGCACGCACUUGAGGGAUGCAAAUCAACGGCUUCAGGUAGAGGGUGUGGUUGGGGGGCUGCAGGGAGUGGGGACACUGGGGAGAAGCCCGGAGCUGGGUGGGAGGAGGCUGAGGUGAGGUAGCCCCACAGCCCCAUCCGAAUGAAGCGUAAGGGGAAGAUGCGUCAGCAUUUCUGGUGAGGUCAGCGCCUGGUGACGUCCCUCCUGCCAGCAGGAAAGGCUUGCGACACGGCCCCCGUCGGUAUAAAUAGGCUCCGCGACCACAGGGCCCAGGCUGUCCCCGCUUCCCAGGCCACGUCAGCCAGGUCCGCGUGAUCCGGAGGGGAAGAGAGGGCCCACUUGGUUCCUCAGAACUGCUGUUUCCUUGCCUUUCUGAUCCACCCUCCAGCUGGGGAUCCACCCCCACUUUAAACACAAGGAAGGGAUUUGAUGUGACCUGGGACAGGUCAACAGUGGACGCAGGAGGCCCCUGGGUGCAGAGGCCUGCAGACUAUGGGUGGAGACCAACCCAGGCUCCAGUCUCCAUCUGCUUGUGGGCCUGGAAUUCUUGGCCCAGUCACACCCCCCUCUUCUGAACCUCAGUUUCCCCUCUUGCCACCACAGUGCCACAGUUAAACAACGGAGAAGACAAACAACCCCAUUUUUUAAUUAAACAAAAAUUUUUUUUGA